CAUCACAAUGGGGAGGGACUUCACGUCUGAAGUUUCCUGGUGUCUCCCACAUGAGACCUCUAGUCCAGCUUCCCUGGGUCUUUUGCUGUUGGCAGAGUGAGAAGAAUCCUGAUAUUUGGUCCUUUCCUGGUGACGGAGCUACUUGCCUAUCAUACACGGAACAGCUCCAGGAGUUUCAAGGGCUGGGUUGUCUAUAACCUGUUUCCUAGAGUGACAACCGUAUAGUGGUCAGUUCCGGAACUAUAAAAAUGAAAGAGACACUCAUCAACUCCCUGGAGGAGCUCAUGGUCUUUUAAAGGUGAGCUUACU